rnacentral:rRNA from 1 species
UGGGCCCGAGUUUGAUCAUGGCUCAGAACGAACGCUGGCGGCAGGCUUAACACAUGCAAGUCGAGCGCCCUGCAAGGGGAGCGGCAGACGGGUGAGUAACGCGUGGGAACCUACCUGAAGGUACGGAACAACUCCGGGAAACUGGAGCUAAUACCGUAUGUGCCCGAGAGGGGAAAGAUUUAUCGCCUUCAGAUGGGCCCGCGUCAGAUUAGCUAGUUGGUGAGGUAAUGGCUCACCAAGGCGACGAUCUGUAGCUGGUCUGAGAGGAUGACCAGCCACACUGGAACUGAGACACGGUCCAGACUCCUACGGGAGGCAGCAGUGGGGAAUUUUGGACAAUGGGGGCAACCCUGAUCCAGCCAUGCCGCGUGUGUGAAGAAGGUCUUCGGAUUGUAAAGCCCUUUCGGCGGGGACGAUGAUGACGGUACCCGCAGAAGAAGCCCCGGCUAACUUCGUGCCAGCAGCCGCGGUGCU